GUGCUCACUUUAGCAGUACAUAAACUAAAAACUGGACUGAUACAGAGAUGAGCAUGGCCCCUGCAGAAGGAUGGCACCCAAAGUCAUGACGCCUUUCACUUAACC
ensembl:snRNA U6 U6 spliceosomal RNA